rnacentral:rRNA from 1 species
AACCGUUCAGGGGUAAACGGGAGAAAUCCUGAAUUCGAAUGGGGUUGGAUUCAAGUCCAUCCGGUUGCAUAACAGUCUGCCUGGCCCCACCAGAUGGCGCUGGUCGCCCGCGGCGAUUCAUUUCGUUUGCGGUGUCGUUCCCGGCGAUCACUCGGAGAGGUGGCGUGAAAUCUGGCAACGGAGGAGUGCAAUUCCCCCCUAGUAGAAACGUCGCGACCCGUUGGGUGCUGGUCUAAGGCCCGGGGUGGCAGACCAUGUGUCCUGUGAGGGCUCUCACAGGCUCGUGGACCCCUGGUGACCCGGCCGGCUGCCCGACGGUAUGACCAGAGGAGUCGAUCCGCUAAAUGGGAAACACUGUGGUUGUGUAGCGUCCGGCCUGGUGCCGAUGCGUGCGGGGAAUGAGGUGCAAACCGGGGGUGUCCGUGCGAAGCACGGCCCCGGCCCUGCUGCGUAUUUGGUUCCGGUGUCCUCGGACUGGAUCUGUACUUCCGUCUGCGACGCCCACCUUCGGAUGG